GAUGAACGCUGGCGGCGUGCCUAACACAUGCAAGUCGAACGAAGCGGCUCAAAGUUUUCGGACAGAGAGUUGACUGAGUGGCGGACGGGUGAGUAACGCGUGGGUAACCUGCCUCAUACAGGGGGAUAACAGUUAGAAAUGACUGCUAAUACCGCAUAAGCGCACAGCAUCGCAUGCUGCAGUGUGAAAAGCCGAGACGGUAUGAGAUGGACCCGCGUCUGAUUAGCUAGUUGGUGGGGUAGCGGCCCACCAAGGCGACGAUCAGUAGCCGACCUGAGAGGGUGACCGGCCACAUUGGGACUGAGACACGGCCCAAACUCCUACGGGAGGCAGCAGUGGGGAAUAUUGCACAAUGGGGGAAACCCUGAUGCAGCGACGCCGCGUGAGUGAAGAAGUAUUUCGGUAUGUAAAGCUCUAUCAGCAGGGAAGAAAAUGACGGUACCUGACUAAGAAGCCCCGGCUAACUACGUGCCAGCCGCCGCGGUAAAAC
rnacentral:rRNA from 1 species